AUUGAGUCCCAUAAGCAGAGUACAGUAAUGUUUUAAAAUAAUGUUUAACAGAAAUGAUUUGGUGCUACAUUGUAUUAAAGUGUAAAAUUGACCCCAGAGCUAGAUUUUAAAAUCUUUGUAGUUAAUUAGGCUUCAUGUUGGACCUGCCCAAAAAAAGAAUGAAGGACUGAGAUAUUUCAAGAUGGUACUUGUCCAAACCAAAUGAGCUGAGAGAUUUUGGUGUGCUUCACUUGGUUCCCUGACUUGAUAGCCACCUGUCUCCAGCUUUGUAACUGUCAGAGAUCAUGAACCCUGUGAGAAAUAGAGGAGGAGGAAGGGACUAAUGUGUUAUAUGUAUGCAGGCUUGUAUGCUGGUCAUUUUACCUACUUUUUCACUUAUUUCUCAACAGUCCUGUGAGGAAACAAAUAGGCCCAGUUUCUGAUAAAUGCAUCCAUGGUUACCAGAUAUGAAGUCCAGGAGCCCCAAGGGCUGAGCAGACACUUUGCUGUAUCAUUGUAGCUGACGCUGGCCACAGUGGUGACUGAGCAGGAUCUGCCCAGAGACUUUUGGGGAAAGUCUGAAAUCUUUAACUGG
rnacentral:lncRNA from 10 species